GGACCGUUGGUGUAGUUGGUUAUCACGAUCGCCUCACAGAUCUCCAAUAUCUUGGAGAAACAGACGCGAUAGGUCGCGAGUUCGAGCCUCGCAUGGUUCA
rnacentral:tRNA from 1 species